AUUGAACGCUAGCGGCAUGCCUUACACAUGCAAGUCGAACGGAGUGGCGAACGGGUGAGUAAUGUAUCUGAACGUGCCCAGUAGCGGGGGAUAACUACGCGAAAGCGUAGCUGAUACCGCAUCCUAUUGGAGCGGCCGAUAUCGGAUUAGCUAGUUGGUGGGGUAACGGCGCACCAAGGCGACGGACCGUAGCUGGUUUGAGAGGACGACCAGCCACACUGGGACUGAGACACGGCCCAGACUCCUACGGGAGGCAGCAGUGGGGAAUGUUGCACAAUGGGGGCAAGCCUGAUCCAGCCAUGCCGCGUGUGUGAUGAAGGCCUUCGGGUUGUAAAGCACUUUUGGCAGGAAAGCGGUACCUGCAGAAGAAGCACCGGCUAACUACGUGCCAGCAGCCGCGGUAAUAC
rnacentral:rRNA from 1 species